AGGGCAACGAGGACACACCUGCAGGGAGCACACGCACCAGCCCGGGCUGGGAGGAGAAAAGCCUGCUGUCGGCACCAGGAAUCAGGCAGAUUGCUCUCAAGCUGCUGCAGCUGGGAAGAGGCCGCCGUAGGCCUGAGUUCGCCUCAGGUGCACUGGGACCGCAGGGCUGGGACAGGAGCAGUGUGGGAUCAGUGGGCUAUGUGGUCGCUGCUGCCUCCCAGGGCCCAGAACAGCCCCAGCCCGCAGCCUGGUGGUACAGCUGACAAGUGACCGCGAGCGACAGCGUCGCGGCUGGGACCGAGGACGUGAUAUGAAAUCGCUGCUGGACGGAACGCACAGACUUCGACCCCAUGUCCGCAGGAACUUGGAGUCUCCCUGUGUAUCGGCCUCAGGUCAUUCCCAGGAGUGGGACUGCUCAGGUGUGCAGACAGGUGUGCACUUAGAUCUCCGAGAGACCGCCAAGCACAUUCCACGGCGGGACGACAGGUGUUCCCCCGCAGGGACUGCAGGGCUGCGGCUGGGCAGAGGCACGGGCGUGCCAGAGUUGUGCAAGUCCAUGGCACACGCUGCACACUGACUCACCCAGUCUCCAGGCACCAAACCAACCUUCCAGCUGGCUCUGGGCUGGCCCUGCAGUGGCCAUGUCGGGCUCCCUGCCACCCUGCAGCCUGUGAAGCAGGCCCACCACAGAAAGCUUCGCUGGGCCAUCAGGUCUGGUCCCAGAGGCAUGGUCCCAGUCACAUCGACACUGUCCUAACCCUGCCCCAGGGGUCACUGGCCCAUGCCGGCUGCCCUCUCUGCUGCCUCCACCCUGGCUGGGGUACAGCUGGGGUUCCCCUGGGCUGGGCUGGGCUGGUCUUCUCUCAGAGACCCAGGAGAGCCGCUGCUUGGCCCGAGCAUCUGCACCAGGCUUCCUAAGAGGACAUCUGCCCUGCACCAGCUCUGGUCCGGGGUCUGGAAGGUGAGGAUGGCGACAGUGCCUCCCAGCCGAGGAUGCCGAAGAGGUGGGGCGAUGGAGCCGGGAGGACGCGAAGGUUCGCAAACAGCCUCUCACUGCUCCGUGAAGGCGGACUGGCCGCUGCCCCAUACCUGGGCUGCCCCGUUCCAGCAUGGACGUCCACAGCCGGGGGAGCGGACGGGCCCAGCGCAACCUGACCGGCAGUGGGUGCAGCACCUUCUCCUCCCUGGGACGCUGCAGGGCUUACCAUCAGGGUCCACGCGCCACCCUCCACCCAGUCCGCCCACCCGCCAGGCCUUCCCGGCUCUGCCUUCCCAGCAGCCCGUGCAGAGGGCCGCACACACACCAUGACUCUGUUCCAAAGAGCAGCAUUUCUGGGCCCAGCAGGUGAC